CAGCAGACGGACGGAACGCAGCGCAGCAGCCAGGAGGAGUAAUGAUGGAUGGAGACUCCGCCCCCAUCCGAGAUGGCCCCGCCCAGGAGGAGCAGAGGAUGAUGGGAGGUCUGGACUCCGGAAGGUUUGUGGAAAAACUUACGAAUGGAUGUGGAGUAGAAAAG